rnacentral:ribozyme from 1 species
UGCCCAGCAAAUCCUAUCCCUACCUCCACGCGGUACCGGCCGGAAACUAUGAGCAACCUUAGGGAAGA